CUAAGAAUCUUCCGCAAUGGGCGAAAGCCUGACGGAGCGACGCCGCGUGGGUGAAGAAGGCCGAGAGGUUGUAAAGCCCUUUUCUGCAUGAGGAAUAACGGCAGGAGGGAAUGCCUGGCGGAUGACGGUAGUGCAGGAAUAAGCCCCGGCCAAUUACGUGCCAGCAGCCGCGGUAACACGUAUGGGGCGAGCGUUGCUCGGAAUCAUUGGGCGUAAAGGGCGCGCAGGCGGCUGCGCAAGCCUGGUGUGAAAGACUGCAGCGUAACUGCAGGCACGCGCUGGGAACUGUGUGGCUUGAGUUCCGGAGGGGAAGCUGGAAUUCCUGGUGUAGGGGUGAAAUCUGUAGAUAUCAGGAAGAACAUCAGCGGCGAAGGCGAGCUUCUGGCCGUGAACUGACGCUGAGGCGCGAAAGCGUGGGGAGCGAACA
rnacentral:rRNA from 1 species